UCUUAAAUGGGUUGAGCCAGCUAAUUGCUCUAGGAAAUUCUGUCUAAAUCAUGUAUUUUCACCACCUACAGUGUCUAACCAGCCUCCUCUCUGAUAUGCAAAAUUAUGAUGACUUGGAAAGCUCAAAGAGAAGUGUCUGGAAUCAGAAUUGCUUGGUGGAAAGGCAAAGCAGGAGGACCCACAUUGGAUUAUAAACCUCUCUGGAAGAAAAUCUUACUCAGGAGGCAAACAGACUUCUUCCCAUGAACACUAGGCUAGAAACAACCCAUUAAACCCAUCAAGUGGAGAAUAGAUUGCUGAUUCUCUGAGACCAGCUACAUCCUUUUCUUGAAUCUUAUCUUUCUCAUCUACUUCUC
rnacentral:lncRNA from 1 species